ensembl:lncRNA
GCCUUUGUCUUCCUGUGCCACCAGCAAACCAGGCCUUUGUCUUCCUGGCCACCACAGACUGCUACUGCAUGGGGGCUCUGGUGGUAGGACAGUGUUUACGACGACACAGGACCACACGCCAGACUGUUGUGAUGCUCUCCACUAAUAUCUCUAAGCCAGGCACGGGCUGUCCUGGGCCAUGUGUUUGACCAGGUCCUGGUAGUGGACGUGCUGGACAGUGGAGACCAAGCACAUCUAUCUUGGCUGGGACAACCAGAACCGGGGGGUCACUUUCACCAAGCUCCACUGUUGGACCCUCACCCAAUACAGCAAAUGUGUGUUCCUGGAUGCAGACACACUCAGCCAGGGGAGAGAAGAAGAGAAGGCAAAGGGGAAAUAAAAAGGGGAGAGAAGAAGAGAAGCCAAAGGGAAGAGAAGAAGAAAAGCCAAAGGGAAGAGAAGAAGAAAAGCCAAAGGGGAGAGAAGAAGAAAAGCCAAACGGGAGAGAAGAAGAAAAGCCAAAGGGGAGAGAAGAAGAAUAACCAAAGGGGAGAGAAGAAGAAUAACCAAAGGGGAGAGAAGAAGAGAAGCCAAAGGGGAGAGAAGAAGAAUAACCAAAGGGGAGAGGAGAAGCCAAAGGUUAGAGAAGCUACAGUGUCGUUGAUAGAGAACCUCACAGAAUCAUUACUCCGAGAAGUCACUCUGCUCACAGAGGAAAGGGAGAAGAGGCCCGAUUACCCACAAAGCCAGGAGAAAUGAGACAGAGGAGGAUGAUCUGGAGCAGCGCUGGCUGUGGGAGGAGGGCCAGGCGGACUACCUUGGCAAAGACGCCUUCGACAAAAUCCCGAAAAAACUGGACCGAUUCUUAGAUUAGAAGCAUGUUUUGUGUGGCAAGAUACUGUAGCAAUAGUACUGUAUUCUCAUGUUCAUGCUUAUGUGUGUUAUGUCUGUAGUGUAGGCCACUCUAAUAGUUAAAAAAAAAAAAAAAAAAUUGGAAUCAAGUUUGUCCUUUUGUUGUAAAAAUAAAUAAAAAUAAACUUGAUUCCAAUUUCAUUAAAAAAUGUGGCCAUUGAAUUCAAGUUGAAAUCCAUUCCUUAUUUUGAUGUUAUGCUGGAAAUAUCUGGAAGAUUUGAAAUUGUGUUUAUGUUGCCACUAGAGGGUACUGUAGCUUUUUAAAUAACGCACUUUUCCUGGUGUUACGGAUACAGGUAUCCUGUGUCUGUGUGUGUGUGUAUCCUGUGUACUUUUCUCUCCUUCUCCCCUCACAGGUGAAAAUCAUCACUCCCCAAUCAGUCAACAAUCAAUCAUCAAUCAGAAGACACACCUCCUCCUGUUUCCUACCCUAUCACAGUUCCUUUCCCUUGGUUUAAAAACCCCAUCAUUUGUUUGCUCUAGAGCUCAAUCUCUCUGUAAAUGCC